UUUGGCGCGACUGCCAAGGAAUUGAGAGAAUUGAAUUUUACCAAAAUAGUUUCAUUAGCUCCUGAAGUAUUAUAAAUACUAGUAGGCGAAAUUGAGACCAAAGAAUUAAUUUAGUAGAUUGUGUUUUACGUAUAUGUUUUAAAAUCCAAAAUGAAAAAAAAGAAAACAUGUUGAUUAUAGAAAAAUUAGGAGGAACCUAGAAUUAGAGUCUUAUGGGCAAGGACACUAUUGCUGAUUUACUAACCUCUAUAAGAAAUGCGGACAUGAAUAAAAAAGGAAC